GAUGAACGCUGGCGGCGUGCUUAACACAUGCAAGUCGAACGAUGAAGCCCAGCCUGCUGGGCGGAUUAGUGGCGAACGGGUGAGUAACACGUGAGUAACCUGCCCUUGACUCUGGGAUAAGCCCGGGAAACUGGGUCUAAUACCGGAUAGGAGCGCCUGUCGCAUGACGGGUGCUGGAAAGAUUUUUCGGUCAUGGAUGGACUCGCGGCCUAUCAGCUUGUUGGUGAGGUAACGGCUCACCAAGGGACGACGGGUAGCCGGCCUGAGAGGGUGACCGGCCACACUGGGACUGAGACACGGCCCAGACUCCUACGGGAGGCAGCAGUGGGGAAUAUUGCACAAUGGGCGGAAGCCUGAUGCAGCGACGCCGCGUGAGGG
rnacentral:rRNA from 1 species